GACGAACGCUGGCGGCGUGCUUAACACAUGCAAGUCGAACGGAAAGGCCCUGCUUUUGUGGGGUGCUCGAGUGGCGAACGGGUGAGUAACACGUGAGUAACCUGCCCUUGACUUUGGGAUAACUUCAGGAAACUGGGGCUAAUACCGGAUAGGAGCUCCUGCUGCAUGGUGGGGGUUGGAAAGUUUCGGCGGUUGGGGAUGGACUCGCGGCUCAUCAGCUUGUUGGUGGGGUAGUGGCUUACCAAGGCUUUGACGGGUAGCCGGCCUGAGAGGGUGACCGGCCACAUUGGGACUGAGAUACGGCCCAGACUCCUACGGGAGGCAGCAGUGGGGAAUAUUGCACAAUGGGCGGAAGCCUGAUGCAGCAACGCCGCGUGCGGGAAGACGGCCUUCGGGUUGUAAACCGCUUUCGCCUGUGACGAAGCGUGAGUGACGGUAAUGGGUAAAGAAGCACCGGCUAACUACGUG
rnacentral:rRNA from 1 species